CUUCGCACCGAGCUUUUUCGCUCUGCAUCAUCGUCAGAAUCGCACAGUUAACGCAGCUGAGUGUAGUUUCAUUGUCAAGUUCUUUCUCAGUCUGCAUACCUUAAGCAGCAGAGUGUCCUCAUAAAUUUGAAGUCUUUUAUUUCGAGCCGUUUUAUAAAUCGCAUUCUUACUCAUCGCUAUCGCUGAUCGUGGAAGAGUAAUGUUGAGAAAUAUAAGUUCCUCGUGGGAAGCGUGAACGAGGAAAAAACAGGGAGGAACGUAGCAAAGGAAAAGCGAGCCACGACUCUGCUCAUCCUGCUGGAGUCGGUGAGCCUAAAUUAACCCGCGGACUCGCAACCUCGAAACUGCAAUGACAUAUCUCAUCACGGUUCACUCGGUACUUUUAACAAAAAUAACAACUUUUUCUUUCACUCUUUCACUUCUGAACUUUUGCUCGCGGAUGAGCUUCGAUUUCCAAUCUUUUCUCAUAAAAAUUUGAUCGAUGGAGCCUUCUGCUGCUUGCCUUUGGCUGUUUACCUUGAGCCUGAUACCGUUUGAAACUACGAACCAAAUCCUAACUUUUUCACAAACAUUACGAAUGAUUGGAGUGAUUAUGGAGAAUUUGAUAAAUUCGGAGUGAGCAUAACCGCUGUUGGUCGGUUGAUUGAUUGACAGUUGGCAUUCACUUUUUAGAGAAAUGAGCAAUUUUUUUUUGCUUUCUUUGCGGCAGGAAACAUCCAAAUUUUAUUCUGCAGCUCGCCACAAAACUGUGUUUCAUUCAAUAAGUUCUUGUUGAACGUACACGCCGAAUCAGCCUCAGGGCGGGUUUUAUUCAGAAUUAAUUUAGAGACUUUCCCGAAUCGAAGUUACUCAGCUCGUCCCAAAUUUAUGAAACUUUGAUCAACCGGCGAAGUGAGCUAGAAAGUUCGAACUGGUACUGAAUUUUUGUGUUACAAAGUUCCGGCGGUUAAAUUUGUUGUCAGUAUUAAAAGAAAAAAAAAAUUAUCACGAAUUGAUUUUUUUCAAUUAAUAUUUUUUUUUCGCCUCAGUGAUCGAAAAACAAUAAGAAAUAAUCGAAAUACAGUUGUGUAAAAUCAUGCUUGCAUGAUUUAAAAGUUAUGUCAAUAAUUUGGGAAUUUCGGAUCGAUCUGGUGCUCACAAAACGACCAGUGAAAAAUGUUUUAUUGGGAAAAUGUUGUUUUUACGAAACUUUUCGACCAACUGGACGAAGCUACCUGCGAUUAAAAACGCACCUUGAAAAAAACUUCAACGAGCGUUUUUUUUUUAAAGUGGUUUGUAGCUGUAAAGCAGCAGCUUGAAAAGAAAUGUCACAAAGCAAAAAUUUCAAUAUUGGAAAAAGUUUUGACAAUACGCAAGUAAAUUAAUAAAAUUCCACGUCAAAAUGCUCGAUAUUAAUAUUUUUCGAUGGCAAUAGUGAUCCUCCAACCAGAAUCUGGGGCCCCUUAAUACGUGAAUAGCCAUAUUCGAUUUUGAACAAAUGACGAGUCGUUGUCGAAAUAUUUUUGGAAAAAAGGAUGAAAUAAUCGACGUUUGCAGCUCCUCCAUAAUCGUUUACGCCGCUUUACUUCACGUUCGUCUAAUUUUUCUUUAUUUCCAAGUGUGAACAUGUAAAAAGUGAUUUUCAAUUAUCCAACGUUUUUCUAGUCAUAGAAAGCGUGUUUUUUAGUACGAUUUUCGAUUUCGAGUGCUAUCGUAACAUUCGCGUUUUCGCGUGACAUCGAGUUUGAGCUCGCACCGGAAGUUAUAAUUUCAGAAAUAAUAGUGGGUUGAAAUCCCAAAAUUGAUUUCCGAUUAUUCGCGUCGGAUUUAGCCACGUUUCUCAACGAUUACGAAGCUAAAAACUGAUGUACACGAAUAAUUGGUGUCGGAUUGAUUUUCAUCGGGUAAUUUGUUGCGAAUGCCGCGGAAAAUUUAGGCGGAAAAAGCUGGUCGUUUCCCUUGACCUUGAAUUCUUCCGGCAAUUGAGUCUGUUUUUUGGAGGGGUCUCUGGGUUUCCUAGAGGAUUCUUCCACCCCCUUUCCUGUGCUUGUCUGGCUAACGCUCCUCACAAAACGCUGCUCCGCGGCACCGUGCGAUGGAAAAAAAGUUGCCACUGUUCAGCGGCUACAAGAACAAUAAGAGAGCGUUGAAAAGCGGGGGAGUGAGGUUAGAAGAGAAGAGACAGGGCUCACAGAAGGCUCUACUGCCCUACGGGGAAAUCAAGGCAAUGCUGUCGUGCUUAUGCGAAAUUGCGGCAAGGGGAUGGUUUUUUCACCCCCCUCCCUUUUAUUCACGCCUUCGCCGACAGUCUCGUGUUUGUGUUUAACCAUUUUCACGGUUACGAUCUAUCUCGAUCGUAUUUCUAGAUUCCGUUACUUUCGCGUUAAAUAAUCUUAAAUUUAAUCUUAAAAUAAAUUUCAUUAUGGCAUAUGAUUUAGAAAAAACAUUAAAAUGGAUGCCUUGGAAAGAAAAUCAUUUCAAUUCCUUCGGGAAUAUGCGAAAUAAUUGCUGCUUCGGGGCUGAAAGAAUUGCUUCGUUUUCAGAAAUUUUUCUUCAGGAAUUUUUUACUUCUUCAUAGUUUUUGCUGAUUUUACUCUUCCUUUUGAAUAAACGAUUUGGGAACAAAAAAUAUGCUAAUUGGAGUGUGCACCCGUAAAUUGCUGAGCGUUGUUUCAUCAUUGCACGAGAUUAGGCUGAAAUUUUGUCCCCCCUAAAAAGGAAGCGCGACUGCAAAAUAAAUCUUAAGGUUGUUGCUCAACAUUUUUGAGGUGAAUGGAUGUCUAUAAAAAUGUUUCUAUUUGUUGAUAAUAUCUCCUGAGUUUCGGAGAAUUUUGGAGAAAUUCAAUGUCAAAGUUGAGUAAAAAUGCCAUUUCAUUGCAUCGAUUGAAUGAGCCGAAGUCGUUACCUUCACACUUUUUUGCUUAUAUCACUCUUAUUAUCGAAGAAAUUCAUUUGAAAAACGACAGUUCGGAACAGCACGAUAUAUAGAAUGAUUUCACUAAAAAGAACAGAUAGUUUACCGACUUGAAUGACCAGAAAUCACCGAAGAUAUAUGUGACUGCAUCACGAUCAUAUCGGGCUAACUGAGACUGCGGCGUAGAAAUGCGACAACUUUGCAACUACGACACCAACGGGAGCAGUUCCUUGACAGGCAGUCGUUGACAUAAUAACCUCCUAAAACGUCGGGCGAAACAAGUAACACGUACACAGAGGCAUCCAAUCCAACAGCUGAUUGCAGAGGAGCAUGAGAUAUUUAACGUUUAUCGGAGUUUUGUCCCUCGUCUUUUCAUCGUGACGACUUUUCUAUACCCCGGCCUAUUUCUAUGUCGACAGAGGACGACGGGGUAAGGUUGAAGGGAAGGUAUUCGAGUGGGUAGGAUUUCCCGACCCUCGGAGUGGGGGUGAUUGAUGGCUUGGAAAAUUAGGUAGGAGCCACGUGGUUGAGGAAGAAAAAAACGUGGCAAAAAGGCAACACAACGGCGGAGCGAAGACCCGCGGGCGGGCUCGUCUCGGGGAUCAUAGCGCAGUUACUCCCUGAACGAGUGACGAGGUGGAAAAUUAAGAAUAGACUUUUUCUGGGCGGCUUAUUUACUCCCCGCGCUCGUGAUUUACCAUGCAAAACUCUUUAUGGAGCGAAAAGUUUUGCGAAAAUAAUCAUGAAAAAAUGGAUAUAAGAAUUGUAUUGAAAGUGAAACAGCAAAUGGAAUAUAUCACUCUCUUUUUGAGGCGGAAUUCCAAUUUUCCUGAGUGUUCUUUUGCCUCACACAAAUGUAAAAACACGAUAUUUGUAUGUAUAAACGUAUUGGUAACUGGAUUAUUAA